rnacentral:rRNA from 1 species
AAUGAACGCUGGCGGCGUGCUUAACACAUGCAAGUCGAGCGAGGCCUGGGGGGCAACUCCCAGAGUCGAGCGGCGGACGGGUGAGUAACACGUGGGUAACCUGCCCGGAAGUGGGGAAUACCUCGGGGAAACUCGAGCUAAUUCCGCAUGACAUCUUCGGGACGAAAGUCCUGACGAUCAAAGCGGGGUCGCAAGACCUCGCGCUACCGGAUGGGCCCGCGCCCGAUUAGCUAGUUGGUGAGGUAACGGCUCACCAAGGCUUCGAUCGGU